rnacentral:rRNA from 1 species
GCUACAUUGUUCUUUGAAAACUGAAUACGACAAAUCUUUCUAGUCCGAAAUUUGAUUAAAGUAUCAGAUCAAAUUUCAUAUAAUUAUAGAUUCAAUAAAAAUAGCUAAUGGAUCAAAUACAUAAGUUACUAAGGGCUUAUGGUGGAUGCCUUGGGUCUGAAAGUCGAUGAAG